UACAGAGGCCUCGAGCGUUGUUCGGAAUUACUGGGCGUAAAGCGAAUGUAGGCGGUUGCGCAAGUCAGAUGUGAAAGCCCGGGGCUUAACCCCGGAACUGCAUUUGAAACUGCGUAGCUUGAGUACGAGAGAGGAAAGUGGAAUUCCCGGUGUAGGGGUGAAAUCCGUAGAUAUCGGGAGGAAUACCAAUGGCGAAGGCAGCUUUCUGGCUCGUAACUGACGCUGAGAUUCGAAAGCGUGGGUAGCAAACAGG
rnacentral:misc_RNA from 1 species